rnacentral:rRNA from 1 species
GACAGAGGAGCCAAGCGUUGUCCGGAGUAACUGGGCGUAAAGCGCACGCAGGUGGUCGUGCACGUGGGGUGUGAAAGCGGCAGGCUUAACUUGCCGAGGCCACCUCAUACGGCACGGCUCGAGCCCGUGAGAGGUCCACGGAAUUGCCGGUGUAGUGGUGAAAUGCGUAGAGAUCGGCAGGAACACCCAGGGGGAAACCAGUGGACUGGCACGGUGCUGACACUCAUGUGCGAAAGCGUGGGGAGCGAACCGG